rnacentral:tRNA from 1 species
AUUUCUUUAGUAUUAACUAGUACAGUUGACUUCCAAUCAAUUAGUUUCGGUAUAACCCGAGAAGAAAUA